rnacentral:rRNA from 1 species
AGAGGGGGAUAACAUUCUGAAAAGAAUGCUAAUACCGCAUGACAUAUCGGAACCACAUGGUUCUGAUAUCAAAGAUUUUAUCGCUUGAAGAUGGACUCGCGUCCGAUUAGUUAGUUGGUGAGGUAACGGCUCACCAAGACCGCGAUCGGUAGCCGGACUGAGAGGUUGAACGGCCACAUUGGGACUGAGACACGGCCCAGACUCCUACGGGAGGCAGCAGUGGGGGAUAUUGCGCAAUGGGGGCAACCCUGACGCAGCAACGCCGCGUGAAGGAUGAAGGUUUUCGGAUUGUAAACUUCUUUUAUUAAGGACGAAAAAUGACGGUACUUAAUGAAUAAGCUCCGGCUAACUACGUGCCAGCAGCCGCGGUAAUACGUAGGGAGCAAGCGUUGUCCGGAUUUACUGGGUGUAAAGGGUGCGUAGGCGGCUUUGCAAGUCAGAUGUGAAAUCUAUGGGCUCAACCCAUAAACUGCAUUUGAAACUGUAGAGCUUGAGUGAAGUAGAGGCAGGCGGAAUUCCCCGUGUAGCGGUGAAAUGCGUAGAGAUGGGGAGGAACACCAGUGGCGAAGGCGGCCUGCUGGGCUUUAACUGACGCUGAGGCACGAAAGCGCGGGUAGCAAACAGGGUUAGAUACCCUGGUAGUCCACGCUGUAAACGA